GGCGAAUGGGUGAGUAACACGUGCUUAAUCUACCCUUUAGAUUGGAAUACCCAAUGGAAACAUUGGCUAAUGCCGGAUACGCAUGGAAUCGCAUGAUUCCGUUGUGAAAGGAGCCUUUAAAGCUCCGCUAGAGGAUGAGGGUGCGGAACAUUAGUUAGUUGGUAGGGUAAUGGCCUACCAAGACUAUGAUGUUUAGCCGGGUCGAGAGACUGAACGGCCACAUUGGGACUGAGAUACGGCCCAAACUCCUACGGGAGGCAGCAGUAGGGAAUAUUCCACAAUGAGCGAAAGCUUGAUGGAGCGACACAGCGUGCACGAUGAAGGUCUUCGGAUUGUAAAGUGCUGUUAUAGGGAAAGAACACCUGGUUGAGGAAAUGCUUCCAGGCUGACGGUACCCUGUCAGAAAGCGAUGGCUAACUAUGUGCCAGCAGCCGCGGUAAUACAUAGGUCGCAAGCGUUAUCCGGAAUUAUUGGGCGUAAAGCGUUCGUAGGCUGUUUAUUAAGUCUGGAGUCAAAUCCCAGGGCUCAACCCUGGCUCGCUUUGGAUACUGGUAAACUAGAGUUAGAUAGAGGUAAGCGGAAUUCCAUGUGAAGCGGUGAAAUGCGUAGAUAUAUGGAAGAACACCAAAGGCGAAGGCAGCUUACUGGGUCUAUACUGACGCUGAGGGACGAAAGCGUGGGGAGCAAACAGGAUUAGAUACCCUGGUAGUCCACGCCGUAAACGAUGAUCAUUAGUCGGUGGAGAGUUCACUGACGCAGCUAACGCAUUAAAUGAUCCGCCUGAGUAGUAUGCUCGCAAGAGUGAAACUUAAAGGAAUUGACGGGGACCCGCACAAGCGGUGGAGCAUGUGGUUUAAUUUGAAGAUACGCGGAGAACCUUACCCACUCUUGACAUCCUUCGCAAUGCUAUAGAGAUAUAGCGGAGGUUAACGGAGUGACAGAUGGUGCAUGGUUGUCGUCAGCUCGUGUCGUGAGAUGUUUGGUCAAGUCCUGCAACGAGCGCAACCCCUAUCUUUAGUUACUAACGAGUCAUGUCGAGGACUCUAGAGAUACUGCCUGGGUAACUGGGAGGAAGGUGGGGAUGACGUCAAAUCAUCAUGCCUCUUACGAGUGGGGCAACACACGUGCUACAAUGGUCGGUACAAAGAGAAGCAAUAUGGCGACAUGGAGCAAAUCUCAAAAAGCCGAUCUCAGUUCGGAUUGGAGUCUGCAAUUCGACUCCAUGAAGUCGGAAUCGCUAGUAAUCGCAGAUCAGCUACGCUGCGGUGAAUACGUUCUCGGGUCUUGUACACACCGCCCGUCACACCAUGG
rnacentral:rRNA from 1 species